UACAGAGGGGGGCAAGCGUUGUUCGGAAUUACUGGGCGUAAAGGGCGCGUAGGCGGCCUGCUAAGUCGAACGUGAAAUCCCUGGGCUCAACCCAGGAACUGCGUCCGAUACUGGUUGGCUUGAAUCCGGGAGAGGGAUGUGGAAUUCCAGGUGUAGCGGUGAAAUGCGUAGAUAUCUGGAGGAACACCGGUGGCGAAGGCGGCAUCCUGGACCGGUAUUGACGCUGAGGCGCGAAAGCCAGGGGAGCAAACGGG
rnacentral:rRNA from 1 species